rnacentral:rRNA from 1 species
GACGAACGCUGGCGGCGUGCCUAAUACAUGCCAGUCGAGCGGACGAAUCGAAAGCUUGCUUUUGAUUCGUUAGCGGCGGACGGGUGAGUAACACGUGGGCAACCUGCCCUGUAGACGGGGAUAACACCGAGAAAUCGGUGCUAAUACCGGAUAACACGAAAUGUCGCAUGACGUUUCGUUGAAAGACGGCGCAAGCUGUCGCUACAGGAUGGGCCCGCGGCGCAUUGGCUAGUUGGUGAGGUAACGGCUCACCAAGGCGACGAUGCGUAGCCGACCUGAGAGGGUGAUCGGCCACACUGGGACUGAGACACGGCCCAGACUCCUACGGGAGGCAGCAGUAGGGAAUCUUCCGCAAUGGACGAAAGUCUGACGGAGCAACGCCGCGUGAGCGAAGAAGGCCUUCGGGUCGUAAAGCUCUGUUGUUAGGGAAGAACAAGUAACGCAGUAACUGGCGUUACCGUGACGGUACCUAACGAGAAAGCCACGGCUAACUACGUG